CAGAGGAGGAGGCUUACCAUGCAAGUCGAGCGCCCCGCAAGGGGAGCGGCAUACGGGUGAGUAACGCGUGGGAAUCUACCAUUUGCUACGGAACAACGGUUGGAAACAACUGCUAAUACCGUAUGUGCCCUUUGGGGGAAAGAUUUAUCGGCAAAUGAUGGGCCCGCGUUGGAUUAGCUAGUUGGUGGGGUAAAGGCCUACCAAGGCGACGAUCCAUAGCUGGUCUGAGAGGAGGAUCAGCCACACUGGGACUGAAACACGGCCCAGACUCCUACGGGAGGCAGCCGUGGGGAAUAUUGGACAAUGGGCGCAAGCCUGAUCCUACCAUGCCGCGUGAGUGAUGAAGGCCCUAGGGUUGUAAAGCUCUUUCACCGGUGAAGAUAAUGACGGUAACCGGAGAAUAAGCCCCGGCUAACUUCGUGCCAACAUCCGCGGUAAUACGAAGGGGGCUAGCGUUGUUCGGAUUUACUGGGCGUAAAGCGCACGUAGGCGGACUUUUAAGUCAGGGGUGAAAUCCCGGGGCUCAACCCCGGAACUGCCUUUGAUACUGGAAGUCUUGAGUAUGGAACAGGUGAGUGGAAUUCCGAGUGUAGAGGUGAAAUUCGUAGAUAUUCGGAGGAACACCAGUGGGCGAAUGCGGCUCACUGGUCCAUUACUGACGCUGAUGUGCGAAAGCGUGGGGAGCAAACAGGGAUUAGAUACCCUGGUAGUCCACGCCGUAAACGAUGAAUGUUAGCCGUUGGGGAGUUUACUCUUCGGUGGCGCAGCUAACGCAUUAAACAUUCCGCCUGGGGAGUACGGUCGCAAGAUUAAAACUCAAAGGAAUUGACGGGGGGCCCCGCACAAAGCGGGUGGGAGCAUGUGGGUUUAAAUUCAAAUGCCAACGCGCAGAACCUUACCAGCCCUUGACAUCCCAGAUCGCGGGUUAGUGGGAGACACUAAUCCCUUUCAAAUUCUGCUGGGAUCCCUAGACAUGUGCUGCAUGGCUGUCAUCAGCUCGUGUCGUGAGAUGUAGGGUAAAGUCCGGCACGAGCGCAGCCCUCGCCCUUAGUCGCGAGCAUGUCAGUUGGAGCACUCUA
rnacentral:rRNA from 1 species